rnacentral:rRNA from 1 species
UACAGAGGUCUCAAGCGUUGUUCGGAUUCAUUGGGCGUAAAGGGUGCGUAGGUGGCGCGGUAAGUCGGGUGUGAAAUUUCGGAGCUUAACUCCGAAACUGCAUUCGAUACUGCCGUGCUUGAGGACUGGAGAGGAGACUGGAAUUUACGGUGUAGCAGUGAAAUGCGUAGAGAUCGUAAGGAAGACCAGUGGCGAAGGCGGGUCUCUGGACAGUUCCUGACACUGAGGCACGGAAGGCCCAGGGGGAGCAAAACGGG